CCUACGGGAGGCAGCAGUAAGGAAUAUUGGUCAAUGGACGCAAGUCUGAACCAGCCAUGCCGCGUGAAGGAUUAAGGCCCUCUGGGUUGUAAACUUCUUUUAUAGGGGACGAAAAAAGGGCAUUCUUGCUCACUUGACGGUACCCUAGGAAUAAGCACCGGCUAACUCCGUGCCAGCAGCCGCGGUAAUACGGAGGGUGCAAGCGUUAUCCGGAUUUACUGGGUUUAAAGGGUGCGUAGGUGGGUUGGUAAGUCAGUGGUGAAAUCUUCGAGCUUAACUCGGAAACUGCCAUUGAUACUAUCAAUCUUGAAUCAUCUAGAGGUAAGCGGAAUAUGUCAUGUAGCGGUGAAAUGCUUAGAUAUGACAUAGAACACCAAUUGCGAAGGCAGCUUACUAUGGAUGCAUUGACACUGAGGCACGAAAGCGUGGGGAUCAAACAGGAUUAGAUACCCUGGUAGUCCACGCCCUAAACGAUGGAUACUCGACAUUUGUGAUAUACAAUAAGUGUCUGAGCGAAAGCAUUAAGUAUCCACCUGGGAAGUACGACCGCAAGGUUGAAACUUCAAAUUGAAUUGACGGGCUUGAGAGNGCGACGACGACGACGAGGGAGGAGG
rnacentral:rRNA from 1 species